AUAAAAUUGUGCUCUCCAUCUACUAAGGUUGUACAGGCCAAGAGAACUUAAGCUUCCUUUAACACGAUCGUGACUGUUUGUAAGGAAGUGUUGUUGCCCAUUGAGAGGAGAAACAGGCUGACUCCGUCACCAGUUCCAGGGGCAGCAACACCUCCUCCCACCACCAACCACCCUGAAAGAUAAAAGGUUCUCAGCCCAAAAAGGAGAACAAAACAAAAAGACACUCAAAAAGCUAGAUUUUUAUCUUGUUCAGAAUUACUUAUGCACCAAAGUAGUCUUGGUGUUUUACUGUUCGUCUCAUCCAGACAUGAUGGCAUGUGUAAAUCGCCUGUCUGAGCACUGCUUAUUUAGCAUGUUGCCAGGGCUCAAAUAGUAUAUCAUUUUACUGUGGAAGAGUACAGCUCAGUGAACAGAUUGGUAUACACAGAAGAGAUCUUAUUGGGCAUUAGCACACCUUAAAACGGCUUUUAAUAGUGUGAAAUGAUCAAAGGAAGCCUCUCUUCUUACACAUUGGUGGAAUUCUUACACCAUUAGUUAGUGCUGCAAUCCACUGAUGUAGGGACCAAUUCUACACUCACUUAACAGGACUUUUUUUAUAUAUAUAUAUACUUAAAGCAUUUUUUUAAUUUUUAAAAAGACUGUGGUAAACUACCCAUAAAUAUAAAAUUUACCGUAUUAAUCUGUCUUAGUGUAGAAUCCAGAAGCAUGAAGCACAGUCACAUUGCUGUGCAACCAUUCUCCAGACUCUUCAUAUCUUACAAAACAGAUACUCUGUACCGGUUGAAAACUCCUCCUUCUCCCCUCCUCCAGGCUCUCCUCACCACUGCCCCACUUUCUGUCUCCAUGACUUUGACUACCCCAGAUAUCUCAUACAAGUGGAAUCAUACAGUACUUAUCUUUUUUAUUAAUGGCCUAUUUCACGCGGCACAAUGUCUUCAAGGUUUAUUCAUGUUGUUUUUGUUUUGUUCUGUUUUGUUUAAUUUACAUUCAAGUUAACAUAUAAUGCAAUAAUGAUUUCAGGAAUAGAAUCCAAUGAUUCAGCACCUAUGUUUAACACCCAGUGCUUAACCCAACAGGUGCCCUCCUCAAUGCCCCUUGCCCAUUUAGCCCAUCCCCCCCAACCCAAAACCCCUGCAGUAACCCUCAGCUUGUUCUCUGUAUUUAAAUCUCUUAUGUUUUGUCCCCCUCCCUGUUUUUAUAUUAUAUUUGCUUCCCUUCCCUUAUGUUCACCUGUUUUGUAUCUUAAAUGCCACAUGUGUGAAGUCAUAUAUGUCUUUCUCUAAUUUCGCUUGGCAUACAUAAUACCCUCUGGUUCCAUCCACAUUGUUGCAAAUGGCAAGAUUUCGUUCUUUUUGAUUGCCGAGUAAUAUUCCAUUGUGUAUAUAUACCACAUCCUCUUUAUCCUUUCACCAGUUGAUGGGCAUUUAGGCUCUUUGCAUAUGUUGGUUAUUGUUGAUAGUACUGCUAUAAAUAUUGGGGUGCAUGUGCCCCUUCGAAACAGCACUCCUAUAUUCUUUGGAUAAAUACCUAGUAGUACAAUUGCUGGGUCGUAGGAUAGUUCUAUUUAAAUUUUUUGAGGAACUUCCAUACUGUUUUCCAGGGUAGCUGCACUAGUUUGCAUUCCCACUGGCAGUGCAAAAGGGUUCCUCUUUCUCUGCAUCCUCACCAACAUCUGUCAUUGCCUGAGUUUUACCAGGCCUUUAUUAAAGCAGAUUAAGUCUUAUAUGGUAUAUUAAAGAGUCCAAAAAGGGAUCCAUUGUGAUAUAUCUGCUAACAGAGUCCCUGUGGGUGGGUGGCUUCCCUCCCCUCCCCCUAACAUCCCAGUGUUCCAUCUGGGUAGAUGUGGUCAGCAGACGAAAGAGAGAGAGAGAGAGAGGGAGAGCACACUGGCACAUGUGCGUAUGUGCACACAUGUGCAAACAGGGGAGGGGCAGAGAGAGAAAGGGAGAGAGAGAAUCGCAAGCAGCCUCUGCACUGUCUGCACUGAGUCUGACAAGAGGCUCAAAUUCAUGCACCAUGAGUUUGUGACCUGAGCUGAGAUCAAGAGUCAGACUGAGUCACCCAGGUGCCCCAUAGACAAGAAGUUUUUUUCAGCACCUUGGACUGGAGUUUGGAAAUUAGCGUCCAUCAUCUGAAAAAUUAAUUUUACCUGUUCCGAAUCUAAACAAACACAGGACGUCCUCCAUUUGUAGUUACUGUACAUGCAUACUUCACCAUUCUAGAAUUUUAAUGUGUCCUCAAAUUGGAAUAGCUUGGGAGUUUGUCUGGUUGCAGCCAUAUUCCCAAGAUAAAGUCUUUUUGCAAACAUCACACAUUUGGGGAUGAAAAAUUUACUCCUUUCAGCUAAUGUCAAAUAAGCACCACAUAUUAAAAAUAUCACAGGCACCUGGGUGGCUCAGUCAUUUGAGUGUCCAAAUUUGGCUCAGGUUAUGAUCUCACAGUUUGUGAGUUCGAGCCCCACAUUGGGCUUGCUGCUGUCAGCACAGAGCCCACUUCAGAUCCUCUGUCCCCCUUUCUCUGCCCCUCCCCCACUUGCGCGCUCUCUCUCUCUCUCUCUCUCAAAAAUAAACAUUUAAAAAUAAAAAUAUCCUCUAUUCUUAUUUUCAGUUAAGUCAAACUGUAAAUUGAUUCAUAUUCUGGGAUCUUCUCUUGCAUGGCCCAGGGCCUCACAUUUGUUUCUCUAAAACUCACCAGAACUAACAAGUAAAACAAAAGGCAGUUUCAAUAUAUUUCAGUGGGUAGAGGACGUGGACAAUUUAGAGAUGAAGGAGUGAAAUUACUUGGUACAUUUUGGUGGCAAAUAAAGAAGACUACAACAAUUAGAUAUAAUUUUCUAACUAGUAAAAUAUCAAGGAAUAACAUCUUCGCGUAGAGAAGAAUUGAAACAAGUAUUUGUUUUGGGUGACAAUAUCAAUUAAUAGAAAAAUCCCCAUAUUCCAUUGGGGAUAUGAUUUGAUCAUAAUUAUCCAACUGUUCACUCUGUUGAAAAAUUGUGAGAGCAUUUUAAACACUCAGAACUUGGGGAAUGAUUAAACAAGUCAUAACACAUCUAUUCAAUGUAGCCAUUGAAAGCAUGCUUAAUGCCAAGUAACUUAAGGUCAAGAGAAGGAAACAAGAUUUUGAUAGUUAAAAGUUUAAAAAAAAAUAAAAGAAAGAAAAGAAAUAAAAAGGUCCAAGAAAUUUCAUGUGCUUUAUGAUGUUGACAUUUUUUUAAAUGCCUCUGGAUGAGAAAGAAAUCAAAUCAUUAUUAACUUCACACCAAAAAUCUUGUUUUCAAAUGGAAAGUACAUCUAUAAGUGACUCAUAACCUAUACUUUUUUAAUCCAAAUUUACUACCAGUAUUCAUAUUAUUUUUAAAAAAUCAUAUUAUAGGUCUUUGGGUAAAAGGCUAUGUUUCUCAAAAAUCGUAAGUAUCAGUAUGUAAAUAAAAACCAAAUAUUUAAAUAAAAUUCCUUAUCAGUA